UCUGGCCAGAUUGGAGCAGUUUAACCAAGACAGUGAAACAGGGAAAAGUCAACACUAUCAAAGGCAAAUGGAAAAGCCUGAAAGACGCCUUUAUCCGCCAUCGCCGCAAACAAAAGGAGCAGAGGAGCGGAUCCUCCCCAGGCGGACGCUCCAGUUAUGUGCAUGCAGCACAAAUGUCUUUUUUGAUAUCGUGCACCGAAAUGCGGAGCACCGAUAGUAGCUGGGAACCCAGCCAGGCGCAAGCUGAUGAGGAAGAGGACGAGGGCACAAUGGACAGUGAGCCGGGCCCAUCUAUGGGGCCAAUGAGUCCUCCAGCCCCCCCCCCCCACUCCGACUUUC